AAAGAUUAAGCCAUGCAUGUAUAAGUAUAAACGCUUUCAGCGUGAAACCGCGAACGGCUCAUUACAACAGCUAUAAUUUACUUGAUCUUGACAAUCUACUUGGAUAACUGUGGUAAUUCUAGAGCUAAUACAUGCACCAAAGCUUCGCCCAGCGAUGGAGGAGCGCAUUUAUUAGAUCAAAACCAAACGGCUUCGGCCGUCCAUUGUUGACUCAGAAUAACUAAGCUGAUCGUACGGUCUUGCACCGACGACGUGUCUUUCAAGUAUCUGCCUUAUCAACUUUCGAUGGUAGUGUAUCUGACUACCAUGGUGAUGACGGGUAACGGAGGAUCAGGGUUCGACUCCGGAGAAGGGGCCUGAGAAAUGGCCACUACGUCUAAGGAUGGCAGCAGGCGCGCAAAUUACCCACUCUCAGAAUUUGGAGGAGGUAGUGACGAGAAAUAACGAGGCUGUUCUCUACAGAGGCCAGCCAUCGGAAUGGGUGCAAUUUAAAUCACUCAACGAGUAUCUAUGAGAGGGCAAGUCUGGUGCCAGCAGCCGCGGUAAUUCCAGCUCUCAAAAUGCAUAGAAUUAUUGCUGCGGUUAAAAAGCUCGUAGUUGGAUCUGUGCUGGUGUGCCGGUCUCGCCUUCGGGCGUGUACUGGUUCUCGCACUGGCUUUCCUGCAGUUUUCGGCUGGCUCUCCCUCACGGGUCUGCCUGUUCGGUGCUGCAAGUUUACUUUGAACA
rnacentral:rRNA from 1 species